AUACUACGUUCCCUCUGUGAUAAGUAAUGUAAAGCAAUCUCA
rnacentral:sRNA from 1 species